rnacentral:rRNA from 1 species
GUCCUAGCUGUAAACGGUGCACGUUUGCUGUAAGAGGAAUCGACCCCUUUGUGGCGAAGCUAACGCGUUAAACGUGCCGCCUGGGAAGUACGGUCGCAAGAUUAAACUCAAAGAAUUGACGGGGCCUGCACAAGCGGUGGAGUAUGUGGCUUAAUUCGAUGCAACGCGAAGAACCUUACCUGGCCUUGACAUGUAUCUAGUAGAAGGGUGAAAGCCUGACGAGGUAGCAAUACCAGGAUACACAGGUGCUGCAUGGCUGUCGU